rnacentral:lncRNA from 1 species
CUAACCAUGCACACUAUAUAAGCAUGCUUAUGGAGCAUGAAAUGGCAACUAGUGAACUAGUGUGUGUGUGCUUGUGUGUGGCCGAAAAUACAAGUGUGUAUUCUCUCUCAAAGUUUUCCAAGAGUUUGUGGUGUUUUGUGAUUCCAUUUGAGGCAUUCACACUAUUGGUGCUUGGCCCUCAAACUCCUUAAGAACCAAACUCAUCAAAAAGGUAUGUAAUCUCUUCUAACUCUUUUAUGUUGAAAUGUUCCCCAUGCCAUGUUAGAUAGGUUAUGAACCUUGGAAAAUUAUUAUUUUGCAUGUAUUUAGACAAACAUAGAUCCAAGGUUUAUUAGGGUUGCAUGCACACUUAGGAAGUGUUAGAUUGCUCAAAACCCAACAGUGGUAUCAGAGCCUAGGCUUGCUUGUUUGAUACUUGAUGCAAAAUAGUGAAAAAAGUCGAAAUUGUUGCUGUCUGCAUGCUAGACUCGCCGAGUCCAUUGGGGGGACUCGCCGAGUCCAAGGCAAACUUCAACCUACUCGACGAGUCCGUUCGUGCACUCGGCGAGUAGGAUCGAAAGAAUGCAGAAUCUCGACUUUUGCUGCUGGAAAUGGACUGGAAACAUUACCCUAAAUUGUUUUGGUGUUGUAAAACUUAUUUUAGUUGGUGUAAUGGUUGUUCUAAUCCAUUUACAAUAGCAUAUAUCAAAAAUCCAUGAUUUUAUGUGUUCAUAUAAUUCUUGAAUUUUUGAUGAUCAUGUUCAUGUUCUUAUGAAUUUAGAAAAUGAUAGGAAUUAUUUGCUGAAUUGUUUAGAAUUAAUUCUUAAUCAUUUAUGUGUUUUAAUGGAGUCCAUAAUUUGUCCUCAAGUUAUGGAUUACCAAAGGUCACUUUCAUUUAACACACACUUAAAACACAUAAGUUACAUGAAAAUGAAGAGUCUUCAUUUUUAUGAACCUUUAAUUCAUAAGUUAUGAAAUGAAGAGUUUUGCAAAGUUACAAAACUUGUCCUCAAGUUUUGGAAUUUGUAAAGUUUCACACACUUUAAUAAACUUUAAUUCCAAACCUUAGAGUUUUAAUAGUUAAAAUUCAACCCUUAUACUAUUUAUAACAUUAAUGGUUAAUUAUUAUAUAUAUGUAUAAGAAUAAGUCGUUUUACCGUUAGUAGGCCUCAUUCACGAAGCCGGUCUAUAAGGUGGGUAUAAGGUUGUUGCCUAUAAAAUGGCGACUUAAUGGGUGUAUACUCUCACCCACCGCUUGCUUGAUCGGUGGAGGGUCGUUAGCCGAACGGGUAGAACAACGACUUUAAAUCCUCAUUAAAAGUAUAAUGAAUAUUAUAAAAUAACUAAACUCUUUUAAUUCCCAAUCUUAGUUAUUUUAGGAAAAUGUGAACAUGGUGCUAAUCCAUGGAAUUCACACUUUGUACCUUACCAAGUCGUUAGUGGAGCGUGUGUGGUUAACCGGCACACUAAUUAGACUAGUAAGGAUCACGAAGGGUAACUUAAUGUUGUCAUAGAUCAAUGGAGCGUGUGUGGUUAACCGGCACAUUGAUUAGGUGAUAAUAUUAGGAGUACCAAGUGAGUUAGCAUGGUUAUUCACACCUUGUUUUGUGAUCCUCGGCAUCCCAGUCACAAAACUUGAAGGGCACAAUCGAGAUUGAAACAUGCCAUUGAAAAGUUCAAUGAAUCUCAAAAGAAUCUAGGAAUUUCAAAUCCAAUUAAACCUAAUUAAUCAUUUCGUUUUCAUGGUGGAAAUUGGUGAAUCGUCAUUCGCCUACCUUUCAAAUAUAUUAUUACUUAGAUUACGGCAUCCCUCUUCUAAGUGUAAUAUAUUGUGAUUGGAUCCUAGCCUUAAUAUUACAUUUGGGUGUCUUAUUAAGGAUCCUAAAUAUCUAAUCUAAACUUACUUUCUUCUUUCAGAUGUCUUCCAACACUAAUGCUUCAGGCUCUAACCCAACUGGUUCUUUCUCUCUCAUGAAUCUUUGUGGGAGGGUCAUCUUUGAUGGUUCCAACUUCAUGGAUUGGAUUAGGAACAUCAGGAUGGUUACUCGUUACGAGGACAAGGAAUAUGUCCUCGAUAAGGAGUUAAAAGAACUUGAUGAGUCUACUGCUACUCCUGAGGAGAUCGCUGAAUUCAGGACUCAUGAGAGAGAUGCUACUAAGGUGGCAUGUAUCAUGAUGGCCACGAUGACAGCCGAGCUCCAAAAGUCAUAUGAAGAUUUCUACCCUUUUGAGAUGCACCAAGACUUGAUGGAAAGGUACCAUCAGAGUGCUCGUCAGGAGCGGUAUGAAAUAAUCUCCUCCAUAAUAACUACCCGCAUGAAGGACGGUGAAUCCGUCACGGGCCACAUGCAAAAGAUGCAAAGGUAUGUGGACCGUUUGCUGAAGCUGAAUGUUAACAUCCCCGAGGAGUUAGCAAUUGACAUCAUUUUGCACUCCUUGCCUUCUUGUUAUGAUCAUUUUCGAAUGACAUAUCAUAUGAACAAGGAGGAAGUUACCCUCAGCAAGCUUCAAGGACUCUUGAAGACCGCUGAAACCGGUCUUAAGGGUAAAGCGGUUGUUACCUCUACUACUCCUACUCCAACUUCUACCCCUGUUUUAGCUAUUGGGCAAGGCAAAGGGAAAAAGAGGAAGCACCCUUCGAAGGGUACCAAGGGAAAGUCUCUUGAAGGCUCCUCAUCCAAGACUAAGAACGGUUCUGUCACUCCUUCUGCCAUUCCAAAGGAUGCUGAAUGCUUUUAUUGCCAUGAAAAGGCACACUGGAAGCGAAACUGCCCUAAGUACUUGCAGGAUCUAAAGGAUGGGAAAGUGAAACCCACCUAUGCAGGUAUUUACACUAUAUUGUCUAAUUACUCAACAUAUUCUAACUCUUGGGUGCUUGAUACAGGAUGUGGUAUUCACAUAUGUUCUGAUUUGCAGGGCCUAAGAAGAAGUGAGGAUGUGGAGCACGGGAAGAUAAACUUAAUCAUGGGGAAUAGGAAGGCUUCACCUGUUUCCAAGAUUGGAGUUUAUACUUUGUUGCUUAAUAAUGGGUUAAAAUUAGAUUUGAAUAAAUGUGUAUACUCGUCUGAAAUGGCGAGGAAUAUUAUUUCUUUUCAUGCUUUGUACAAACAAGGUUUUACCUUUUCGUUUGAUAAUGAAUGUGGUGGUAUUAAUGCUUUCUUUAAUAAUGUGUUUUAUUUUAAAGCAUUACCUUGUGAUGGCGUGUAUGAAACUGUGUCGAUUGUAGACAACUUAGGAAAUAAUGUGUUGUAUAUUGAUUCUUCUACUAGCCUAGAUAAAGCAUCAUUGUGGCAUUGUCGUCUUGGACAUGUAAACAAGAAACGCAUAGACCAACUCCAAAAGAGUGGAGUCUUGGAAUCAUUUGACCUCAAAUCAGAUGAUAGUUGUGAAUCUUGUCUACUUGGAAAAAUGACAAAAUCACCCUUCACUGGAACUUGUGAGAGGGGUGAAGGUUUGUUGGACCUAAUACAUACUGAUGUAUGUGGGCCAUUCAAAACCGCCACAAGGGACGCUAAUCGGUAUUAUGUGACUUUUAUUGAUGAUUAUAGUAGAUAUGGGUAUGUCUACUUGAUCAAACACAAGUCCGAAACCUUUGAAAGGUUUAAGGAAUUCAAACAGGAAGUAGAAAAUCAAUUGGGCAGGAACAUUAAGAUGCUUCGAUCCGAUCGAGGUGGUGAGUAUCUUAGUACCGAGUUCCUUGACUAUCUUAAGGAGUGUGGGAUUGUCUCACAAUUGACUCCUCCCAGGACACCACAGCUGAAUGGUGUAGCUGAGAGGCGUAAUCGUACCUUGUUGGACAUGGUUCGCUCUAUGAUGAGUCGAGUUUCGUUACCAAUCUCUUUUUGGGGGUAUGCCUUAGAGACUGCCGCCCAUAUCCUUAAUCUAGUCCCUACAAAGAAGGUUACCAAAACACCUCAUGAGAUGUGGACUGGGAAGGUUCCCAAUUUGGACCACAUCAAAAUUUGGGGUUGCGAAGCCUUCGUGAGGCGUGAAACUCAUGAUAAGCUUGAACCCCGAAGUGAAAGGUGUAUUUUCAUCGGCUACCCACAGAAAUCCUUCGGUUACCUUUUCUACAGACCCAGUGAGAAUGUGGUCUUUGUAGCACGAAGAGGGAUCUUUCGCGAGAAAGAAUUUAUAAGCCAAGGAGACAGUGGGAGGCAGAUUGAUCUUGAAGAAAUUCAAGAAUCAAUUGGUGAAGGAACCUCAGACACUAGCAAUCAACCUGAGGAAGAAACUCCUGUUGAUCCAGCUGACGAGUCUGUACCUCCGAGACGUUCCACACGGGUUAGGAACACACCUUCGUUUUAUUAUGGUUUUCAUAUUACUACGGAAGGUGAUACGUUUAUUAGUGAUAGUACACUAGUAAAUUUGGAUGAACCUAGCAGUGUUAAGGAAGCCAUGGCAGGCCCGGAGUCUGCUAAAUGGAAGGAGGCUAUGGACAGCGAGAUACAGUCCAUGUAUGACAAUCAAGUUUGGAACUUGGUUGACAAUGUACCAGGCCGUAAAACAGUCGGGUGCAAAUGGAUCUUCAAAAAGAAGACCGACAUGGAAGGAAAAGUGCAUACUUAUAAGGCUCGACUGGUUGCGAAGGGUUUUACUCAAACUCAAGGUAUUGAUUAUGAUGAAACCUUCUCGCCGGUGGCCAAGAUUAAGUCUAUUAGGGUUAUGUUAGCCAUUGCAGCAUUUCAUGAUUAUGAAAUAUGGCAAAUGGAUGUCAAAACCGCUUUCCUUAAUGGAAAGUUGGCUGAGGAUGUGUACAUGAAUCAGCCAGAGGGUUUUGUCAAUGCAGAGUACCCUAAUAGAGUAUGCAAGCUUAAGAAAUCCAUUUAUGGAUUAAAACAAGCAUCUCGUAGCUGGAAUCUUUGUUUUGAUGAGAAGGUAAAAGAGUUUGGCUUCUUGAGAAGCGAAGAUGAGUCUUGCGUGUAUGUCAGAGCUAGUGGGAGUAUAGUUAGCUUCUUGGUACUGUAUGUGGAUGACAUACUACUCAUAGGAAAUGACAUCCCAACCUUGCAGGAGGUUAAGUCCUGGCUUGGGAAGUGCUUUGCUAUGAAGGACCUAGGGGAGGCUACCUAUAUCCUAGGGAUAAGGAUAUUAAGAGAAAGGAGUAGAAGACUAAUUGGACUUAGUCAGAGUAUCUACUUGGAUAAGGUGUUGAAAAGGUUCAACAUGGAGAAUUCCAAGAAAGGAGAUUUACCGAUCCAAAGCAAUACCAAACUGAGUAAGACUCAGAGUCCGAGUACAGAGGCUGAGAUAGCUGAGAUGAGCCAAUUACCAUAUGCUUCCGCAGUUGGCUCGAUCAUGUAUGCUAUGACUUGUACCCGUCCUGAUGUGGCAUUUGCUUUGAGCAUGGUCAGCAGGUAUCAGGGGAACCCUGGCAAGGCUCAUUGGACCGCGGUAAAGAACAUUCUCAAGUACCUGCGGAGGACUAAGGAUUGGGUCCUUACCCUUGGUGGCAGUGAUGACUUGAGAAUAUUAGGGUAUAGUGAUGCUGGUUUUCAGACUGAUAGGGAUAAUUUCCGCUCUCAGUCGGGCUGGAUCUUUACCUUAAAUGGAGGGGCAAUUUCUUGGAAGAGUUCCAAGCAGGAGACGGUGGCUGAUUCGACUUGUGAAUCAGAGUAUAUAGCAGCGAGUGAAGCAGCGAAGGAGGCGAUAUGGCUAAAGAACUUCAUCGGAGACCUUGGAGUUGUACCAGCUAUUAAGGAACCUAUAGAGAUUUUCUGUGACAACAAUGCUGCGGUUAUCUUAGCCAAGGAACCAAGAGAUCAUGGCAGAUCCCGACACAUUGACAGAAAAUAUCACUUCAUAAGGCACAAGAUUGAAGAAGGACUCCUUGUGACAAGGAGGAUAUCGUCAGAUGAGAAUCCUGCAGAUCCCCUUACGAAGGGACUGACGAGGGUUAAGCAUUUUCAGCAUGCGAGACGCAUCGGGCUGAGGGACGAUAUUAGUUUUACAGAUUAGAUAGUUUUCCUGAAACUUGUAAAAUGUAAUCGACGUUUGAUGAUGAAUAAAAUUUGUGAUUUAUUUAUGAGUAAAGUGUUACUAUCAUUGUCAAUUAUUUACUAUUGUUUCAGUUUUGCAUGUUUUGACUUCCAGAAUAAUUAAUUUGUUCAAACCUCCACAAUCGAUCAUACGUCGGAAGUAGGUAUGAAUCAAGAUUGUCAUGAAUUGGGUUUGUAGAUGCCUUAAAGGUGUUUAGGCAUGGCAAUGGUUGCUGCAACAUUCAUGAGUACUCAUAAGUUAUGAGUAUUGGUAUAAACCCACGCUCACUUGUAUCACUUCAUGGAAUUUAUCUCGAGUGAUCGUGAGACGAUAACAUCAUAUAAAUCUUUAAACCUAGAGAUAUGAGUUGUUACCUAUGAGUUGGUUGUGCAUUGAUUGCACGUAAACGCAUCAGUAACUUGAUGUUAUAAAACGUGCCUUUGUGUACAAUUCAAUAAGUAGUAGAACAAGCAUAUCAGUCGAAGUUUAUCUGUUCCUUCUAGAAAUAGAAGCGAUAUCCGGGCCCCUCGAUGAUUUUGUGUUGACCCAUAUACCAGGCCUGGUCAGAACUAAACCGAUGUGUUCAGUGAAGUUCUUCGUCAAACAAAUCGGAUAAUCGAGAAACAACUGCUAGACAAUAAGCAAGACAUAGUUCCAUGUGUUUGUCCGGCUGAUAUCAUGAGAACAGAGGAUUAUGUGAUCACUUAUCUAAAAUGGCGCUUCAUAGUUCGACAGAGUCUUCAUUGUUCGAGGGAGUUUUCGAGAGCUACGAUUGUUGGUUGGUUCCUGAAGUUAUAGGCAAAUAUAGUUAUUAGACUUAUCCAAGUGGGAGUCUGUUGGAUAAGGUGUCUAAGUCCAUAACUUAUUUGGUAUAUACUUGACCCGACCGGCAUGGUCCAUUUGGGUUGCAUCUCAUCCAAACUAUUAUGGAUAAUUUUAUGAGAGUUAUACACAUAUGUUUAUUAAUAUAUUAUAAGUUAUAAAUUUAUAAUAUAUUAAUAUGAAGUUAUGUUAGUAUUAGUCUUAAAUUAAUUAUGAAUUAAUUUGGAGAUUAAAAGGAAGAAUAAUUAGAUUAUGGGCUAUUGGUUUUAUAUGGUGUGGGCUAACACUCAUUUGUUAAUGGGCUAGGCUUUGAUGGAAGUCCAUGGAUGAUCCAUGGAGCUUUUAACCCAUGGAUCCUUGGAAAGGAAAGGUCAUGGGUUAUUAGGGUUUCACCCUAACCAUGCACACUAUAUAAGCAUGCUUAUGGAGCAUGAAAUGGCAACUAGUGAACGAGUGUGUGUGUGUGUGCUUGUGUGUGGCCGAAAAUACAAGUGUGUAUACUCUCUCAAAGUUUUCCAAGAGUUUGUGGUGUUUUGUGAUUCCAUUUGAGGCAUUCACACUAUUGGUGCUUGGCCCUCAAACUCCUUAAGAACCAAACUCAUCAAAAAGGUAUGUAAUCUCUUCUAACUCUUUUAUGUUGAAAUGUUCCCCAUGCCAUGUUAGAUAGGUUAUGAACCUUGGAAAAUUAUUAUUUUGCAUGUAUUUAGACAAACAUAGAUCCAAGGUUUAUUAGGGUUGCAUGCACACUUAGGAAGUGUUAGAUUGCUCAAAACCCAACAUAAAGUAGGAUGGUUGGGACUCUCUGGAACUCUUAAGGUCUAGAUCUAAGAGUUAUUCCACCUUGGGUUCUCAAAAGCUUCGAAUCCAAGCUAAAGAAAGGGAAAGAAAACCCUAGAUUCAAGUACAUCACCAUAAACACGAGAUUGAGCAUGGAUCCAUACCUCUAGCAGCCUCCUCUGAUAAAAUGAUAGCAGAUAUGAG